GGGCCAUAGCUCCAUGGUAGAGCCUCUGCCUUGCAUGCAGAAGUUCCUUAGUUCAAUCCCUGGCAUCUCCA